CCUGGGCUUCCAUUUCACGAUCGGAAAGGCCACCGCAAAUCUGGAUGAUACGGUCAGACAACGUCGAUUUACCGUGGUCGAUAUGAGCGAUGAUUGAAAAGUUACGUAUAUUCUUCAUAUUUUAGAGUUAAUUAUGCCUUACGCGUAUCAUGAGGCCGCUGUUCUGUGCCUGACGUUUUUUAAUCCGAAAACGCCGCAUUCUACACUACAUCCGCGAAACCAGGAAAUGCUCUUACCAGCAGCAUAACCGUAGCAAAUGAUGUGUUCUGGCGGGGGUAAUAAAUCAAAAAUAAAGGCCAGUGGAUUCACUGGCCUGGUUCUGAAGAGGGAGUCUCUACACGCACCAAAUCUGGCGGCAGGCCAACGCUAAUAAUAACGGGCUGCCACGACUGGCGAGCGGCUAAUCCGGGCGAAAGCCCGCGCGCCACCAGAAAUCCACCGACGCCGCCGAGUAGCGCACCACACAGCGAAGCGAAAUCAUUUGCAAACAAGACCUGAAAAACAGACGCCAUUGCAAACAGCCCAACCAGCGGCGCCAUAUAGACUAAAACCGCCGAGCCCAGCAGGCUGCUUUCAGCAAUCCCCAGCUCGACUUUUUGCCCGGCGGACAGCGGCUGUUCGCUGGGAACGCUGAUCGUGUGGCUGGUUUGCGGCCCCAGCUUGUUUAGCACCCGGCUACCGCAGCCGGCGCGCGAGGCGCAGCUGCUGCACGAGGCUUUAACAUCACAGUGUACUUGCGCCAUUCCAUUAUGCCAGGAGACGACCGUGGCCCACUCUUUAAUCAUUGCACAGCCCUGAAUUUGAUGCUGUCGGAGAUGCG
rnacentral:ncRNA from 1 species